CACGAUGAUGAGCGGCAACGCAGAGGUGAACGCCAAGACGCGCACGUACACCAACAGGAGAAACGCCCAUGCGCACAUAAAGGGACUGACUCUCGCAUACUGGCUAGGCCGAGUGCCGGGAGGCAUCACCGGCAUCCGUCUGCGCGCGGUGCGCGGCACAGGCGGUGCGGCACGCGCCCGCAUGCCCUCAGGUCUCCUGCUGCUCUGAUUGCCUGCGCGCCUGGAGCGCUGGUGGCGGCGGCGCACAUUCGAUGGUGCCGUCCCCCCCCCCUCCCCUACCGGCCAGCGCCGUCACCGGGCCUACGGCACGGCGCGGUUGUCAAGCCGAUGGACAGUGCGACCUAGCCGCUGGUGACGGGCACUGGCGAAGGGGGAGCUCUGCGUGGCACCUGAGGGCAUUGUGGCGCGGGGGCCGCCGAGGAAGCUGCACCACAGCGCGAGGCUGCUGGAGCGCGUGAGCCGCGUUGCGCGCGCGCUUGUGGUGCGUUGCGUCCUCGCGACGGCCGGCGGGGGCCCUCGCCGUGAAGCGCAAGGACGAGGAGGAGGCGGUGGUGCGCAGUGUGCCUGCGCUGGUGGUGCCGUCGCAUCCCCGCAUCGUCGCCUUCAGCGGUGGCGCUGGCGUGUGCGGCCGUUGUCUGUGCCAUCUCGCCAUGGAGGGGUGCCCACUGCGUCGCUCAGCAUGGCGACCGCUGGGCUGCGGCGCCUCGACUUGUGCAUGACUGCCGUGUUCAGCCGCGAGCAGGCGUUCGCCCACACGCAGCACACCAUCGACGCUGCUAGCCUCCACCACUUGGUCGGCAUCUCACGGCAAUGACGUGGGCGAGCUGUUUGCCGCCGUGCAUCAAGGCCGCGUGUGGGCGGCAAGGUGUACGAAUGGGAAACUGUUGAAGGCAGCGCGGCAGCUGCAGGAGACGUGUGCCGGCCGCGCGCAGCUUCGUUCCGCUCCGCUGCGCAUUUCCCCGGUGCUGGUGGCGGUGGACGCGCGGGGAGAUGAGGAGGUGAUGGGGAAGGGCGGGUGGUGGAUCUGUGCGAGCGCGUGGGUGUCGGGGUGGAGGGGAGUGUGCACUGAUGGAGGGGCACCCUCACGUGCUGCGACCGGCACCCCCGCCCUCCUCGCCCCAUCGCGCGCACACCGGGGGGCGGGGUCGCUGCUGCUCACAUCCCCUGCUCUCUGGCGAUCCUCCUCAUUGUUGUGGUGCAGGGCUGCCGCGGUGCGGUGUCCGUGUGUUUUCCGUCGGUCUGCGCCCGGCGUGUCUCUCCCUGUGGUCCUGCAAUGAGCGGGAUGCGCGGUGACGGCGCGGCGCCGGUGGUGUCGGCGGAUUGUCGCGGCGGUGCCGCCUGUGAGGGCCGCGACGAUGGCGGUGUGUUUGUGUGCUGCUGUCUCCUCCCACGGUGCUGUGAUCGAUGUGUCUUCUGCUGUCGGGGCCUAGGGAGGGGGGGCGGCAGGCAGCGCCAUCUGCCCUCCCCGCUUGGUCGCCGUCUCUCGCGCCUCUGCCUCUCUCCCUCGCUGCCGUUGCGGCGCGCCGCACAUCCACCGGGCUCCCGUCCUGAUCCUUCUCGCUUGUGUGCAUGUCAUCAAGUGGCCCACCUGCUCCCGCUGCGCACGCCUCGCAGUCCCACUUGCCUGUCUCCUCACGACUGCCUCCCUCCCUCACCCCGAUCUCUCUCUCUCCUCGCCUCCUUUCACUCUUGCUCGCGUGGCGCAUCCGCCCACCCCCUCUCACAACGCACGCGCACAAACAAACGCCGACAACGUGCACGUGCACGUGCAACAACAACAAUAAUAUACGUAUAUAUACCUGUUUGUGUGUGUGUGUGUGCUGCCAAG
rnacentral:misc_RNA from 1 species